rnacentral:rRNA from 1 species
AUUGAACGCUGGCGGCAGGCUUAACACAUGCAAGUCGAGCGAGCGGCGGACGGGUGAGUAAGGUCUGGGAAACUGCCUGACGGAGCGGGCUAACUACGGGAAAAGGUAGCUACUACCGCAUACCAUACGAUGUGCUCAGCUGGGAUGGGAUCGUAGGUGGGGUAAUGGCUGACCUGGGAGACGAUCCCUAGCUGACCUGAGAGGAUGACCAGCCACACUGGUACGGAGACACGGGCCAGACGCCUACGGGAGGCAGCAGGAGGGAAGUUUGCGCAAUGGACGAAAGCCUGAUCCAGCAACGCCGCGUGUGUGAAGAAGGCCUUCGGGUUGUAAAGCACGUUCAGUGAGGAAGCGGUACUCGCCGAAGAAGCACCGGCUAACUACGUGCCAGCAGCCGCGGUAAUUC